GCAUACGAUACACUGUUAUUGCAAGUGUUGUGACACUGUGGUCUUAAACCCUUGCUCUCUUUUCACCGAUUGUACUUCAGCCCUGCAGGGUCUAACAUCUUGUCCUUAACCUUGUUAUGAUUAGACGUGAGAGUGUGGGAUGAAGCCUCUAAGAACUAAUGGGAUACGUUGGUCUUGACUGAACUACCUCAGGAGUGGUCUCUGCAGCUUUCAGAGGCUGCUCAAUAGACCUUUGUGCAGGAGGGAAACCUAAAGUCGCCCCUGUUCACUACCAACCCUAGGCCCCCUUCCCACCCCCAGACAUCCUGCCUCAGCACUAGGGUUGACAGGAAGUGAAACUCAAUUGUCUGCUUAGUAGACCUGCCUGGGACCCAACCCGGGGCCCCGGAUGUGGCCCCCCACCCUGAGGAGGAACAGGGCAAAAAAGGCCGGGGAGAACAGGCUGUUGUUUUUUCCUUUCCCUUUGUUCAUUGCGGUUUCUUUCUUUCUGAUUUUUAUGAUGUGGUUGAUUAAAGAAAUGAGCACCUGGAACCGUAGGCAUUAAACGCCUCCUUCUUAGA
ensembl:lncRNA novel transcript, sense intronic to DGKA